GCUGGGACCAUAGUCUUCUAUAGAAGGUAAUCAGGAAUAGUCCCUUACUUUCAAACUGGUUUAAGAACUUUCUCCUUUCAAAAACAUUGGUAUUUUUUUCUGCUCAGGAUGAUUAGGCCUUAGAGUUACUCAUUUGACCAAAUGGUCUCUCAGAACCAUCCCUUUUGCUUGGGGCCCAUGGAAUAUUUUACCUCAGACCAUGGAGCAUUGAUCCCUCUGUUGAAGGUUCACUGAAAUCCAAAAGGAGGGAGCAAAUCCUGGAAUCUCAUGCUACUUCCUUGUGUAAGGUCACAUGAUAUGUUGUGAAGUCAUCAGUCUGGUGCUCAUUUCUUUUUGGUUGAAUAUAGUUUUUAGGAGGCAAUCAGGCUUAGGACACCCCCAACUUUUCUUGAAUCAUGGAAUCUAUAUUCAGUCUCUUGCAGAUUCAGCUAAAGAUGUGUAUAUGCUAGACUGUGAAGUACCAUUAGAAGAUGAAGCAAUGUAGGACCUCUUGAGCUAUUUUCAAGGUAGACUGGAGGUUCACUUGGGAUGCAAUGAAGAGCCCCUGACAAGCAUAUUCUUCAAAGCCUCCCAUGGUGUAACUGAAGAUACGAUAUGUGAAGUAGCCCUAGCUUGCCUGCUCAAGUCUUCAAAGCCCAAAGACAACUGCUGGAAUGAAAUGCAACCUAUAGGACUGAUGGAAGAAUUGCUACCUGGACUUUCAAAUGCCAUGAAAAUAUAUGGACAUUCUAAAUACUGAUAAAGAAUAGGAAGCUGAUCAAGCAAUACUGGAUCUUCCUCUGCUCCACGAGAGGUGUCCUUUCACAUGCAGAGGAAUGUGUAGAUGGACAUAUAUUUGAAUAAGAUACUGAACCUAAGACUACUGCAUUAGAGCCUCGUACAAGACUUCUAAGACUGUUGACUGCCUACCAUGGAUAUUCAGGCAUCUGCAGAUACUACCUUUUGAGGAAUGAAUCCUUCUCAGGAGACAAUAGACGGAACCUGCACUUCAAUGAUAAUUAAAUGGCACUUCAAGAUAUCAAAUCAAAAUAUCAAAGUGAGAAUGGAAUAAAUUUAUUAGUACAGUGUUUUGCAAACAACUUCUUUCACAAACAGCCUUGGAAGGAGAAUUCUGAAAUUUUGCAUUUCAUAUUUGACUUUGCUGGUACUCUGACAAAAUCAACUCACAACUGUUUGGGGCUUUAUGGGCAAUUAAAUACUACAAACAGAGCUGAAUGAAUCAGUGCUCUGCGGUAUGUGUUAAUAUGGCUACAGUGAAGAACAACUAUGCUUAAGCUAUUCAUCUGUUUUUCAAACAGCAUCCUCAUGCAACUGUGGACUUCUGUGGGUCGUUGGAUGGAUAGGUUGAGAACACUGGCUGAGAGCUGCAAAUGCAGAAGUGGGAUGGUACAUGAUUGGAUCAUGAAAGGCCUGUGUGUAGAUCAUAAACAACUUCACAAUAUUCAAUACUUUAAUAAUUACUAGGAAGUAGACUUCUAUAAAAUGACUUCAGCAGACCAGCAUGGUAGAAAAACAGUAACUGAUUCCCUGGAGAUUUAAAUCCACUGGAUUGUGAAACAUGGACUUAGAGGUAGAGACAUGUCAGCACAUGAAGACUGGAUAAUGAAACCACUGUUGUCUCUUAAGUUUCCCUAACCCAUGGUUUGAGGCCAACAGCAACAGAUUUUUUGCACUGAGGAAUAGAAUAAAAGCCAAUUUGUUGAAAAUCCCAAUCAUAAGAAAAUACUGAAAUCAUCUGUGACAAACAUCAACUCUCAGCAUGGUUUCAGGAUGUCUGAAUGUCUGCUGUCAGCAUGGGCUUUUACUGACAUCCCUUUUAUAACUGCAGAGCUCCAAUCUGCUUCAGCCACAUCAUCAUCUCUUAAUUCUGUUGCAGGUAGAUUAGAUCACUGUGUCUGCCUAUGCAGUCUUUCUCUACAUAUAAAGACCCAAGGAACAAAUCUCACUCCAGGCAGCUGUUGAAAGUAAUUUUGAAUCGCAUUGGUGUUGUUAGUAGAUGUAAUGUCUUCAAAUCCCAGAAGACCAUGUUUGCAAAGGAGUUGAUUGAGGAAGUCUUGGGUAUUUCUUUCAUAGGGGCAGGUGGGAUCGAUGAACAGGACCGCUUUCUCAGACUAGAUCUUGCAGUUCACAUACACGUGAGCCAUGCUGACAGGGUGCAGCUUCCCAGAAUAGAAUGUUCAGUUGAAGAUACUGGUCUGUUUGAGAGUGGCAAACCCAAUGUAUUCUAAACCAUGCAUUCUAGUUGAAUCCCUAUAGAAAACAUGGAAGAAAGAAGCAUUUACUUUUUCAUUUUUGCACUAACAAUGCUACCAAACACUCACAGACAUUAGAACCUGCAUACUGAAGAUGUAUCCAUAUACAAAUGACCAGAUGUGACAUCUAGCCUUUUGAACUAAUAAAAUAAUGGAUUCUAGGACUUUAAAAAUAGUCAGCCAGUGUUAAAGUAUGUGGUCCAUAGUGUGUGAUAAUUGUGACUAGUUCGAUAGCUCUGUACAGAGAGAUUCAUCCUUUACUAUCUCUUAGGGAACACGAACUACUACACCAGGUAUCUAGAGAAGACCUUUUACUGCAGUUUGAGUCUAGCAAGAGUUUCAGCUCAGUUACAAAUUUCCAAUGGCCACAUACCCUUAGUCUGAUAUUCAUACGCUGCUUUGAUACAGUCCUACUUAUAUUCUAUAGUUCUUGUCAACCGAAUUAAAAGAGCAUUGUAUCCUAUUAAAGAAAUGCACAGUAAUUUAUUUGCAUGAGUGCAGCAGAGAGAAGGAUUAUAGGAUAAACAAGAAUUGGAAAGCAAGAUGUCCUUCCUUCUGAGGACCAAGACCAGGAAACCUGAACUACAUAAAAAUCUGAAACAAGUUGUCUGAAGUUUGUUCUUUCCUUCAAUCAUGGGGCUCCUAGUGAAGGAGCUCAGUUCUCAAGAGUUGGCAAAAAUUACCUUUAUUGCUGAGCCAGGACAAUUGCUGAAUACUUCAUUCAUGGACCUGAAGAAACUCUGUAUCCAUCCUGCUAUAAUAUGUAUAUAUCUAUGUAUCAUUCAUAGAAUGGACACUUUACUGUUGGUUUGAAAGCAACAGUUUGUCCCUGGAGAGACACAGAUUUCUUCUUUCACAAAUUAUUUCACAGUCUGAUGGUGGGUCUCAUAAGUUCAUUCCGGGAUUUGCUUUACAGUAAUCAUUCAGUGAUCUGGAAGAAACACUUAUUUAAUGUUGUGAGAUCUACUAGAACAAUAUCAACCAUCAUUUUCCCUUCCCAGUUUAAUUCUGAAUCAUUCUCCACUAAAGGUCUGUGGUCUCUGAUGAAGGCAGCAUCUCCACAGACUAGUCUGAAUAUUGCUCUUAGCACUGCAUUUAUGAUACAUCAAUGUGAUUUCCUUACCACUCUCAUUCCCUAGAGAGUUUUUCAAUUCAUUUCAUCUGAUGGGUCUAAUGUACAUCAUCACCAAGGAUGAGUUUUGAGAGUUUUGCUAAAAAAUUUAAAAAAAGAAAGAAAGAAUAGGAAAGAAAAGAAAUAAAGGAAAACUGCAAGCUUAUCUCACCAAUUGACUCAGAAAUCUAAAGUUUUAUUCAGUGGAAAUAAUUGUGGAAAGUCUGAGAUGAUGAUGUUUCAACUAGAAGCACUUCUCUCUCCAGGAUAUUAGUGUAAGAGUGAAACUGCACUAUUGGUAUCCAAAGAAUGGAGGAGUUUACUCUGAGCAGACAACACAAUACUUGUCUUUCAUUUCUUACUUAGGACAUUUUUAUAAUUGACAAAAAGAAUAAAUGCAAUGAGCUCUCAGGAAAACAUCUGUGACCUUCCAAAAACUUUGGAAUAAAGAAAUGAAUGAUAUAAAAUCUCUCACUUCCAGGAGCCAUAAGAACUGCGAAGUCCAGAUGUUUGUGAGAGGCUCACAGCUUUUGAUUCCCAUAUGUGGAAGGCUCAGAACAAGUCUAUCUCUUCAGUGAUCCUACUGAACUCCUACCAAGGACUCACUGAGCUUUCCCAAGGACCGUGUAUUUCUUCCU